AUAUAGCUGACCAGUCCCAAACAGGUCGAAACGUGCGUCUUACUGGAU
rnacentral:hammerhead_ribozyme from 1 species